rnacentral:piRNA from 1 species
UAGUAAGCAGGCAGGUGCAUGGCGG